rnacentral:rRNA from 1 species
UAUAAACAACUUGUUAGCAAUUAAAAAUAGUGAAAGUGUUAUGAAAAAUAUUUUUUAUUGAUUUUUAUUAGUAAUUUUAAUUGAAAAGUGAGUAAAAACUAAAGUAAAAAGUACUGUGAAGGAAAGUUAAUAAAAUAUAAAAUAGUAAAAAUAAAAUUUUGUGCCUUGUGUAUCAGAAAAAGUUUAUAUAAUUUAAUUAAAUUAAAUAUCUCGAAAUAAAAUAUGGUAAUUUUUAUAAAAUUUUUUUUUUAGAAAAAAAAAAUUUAAUAUAAAAUUUAAAGUGAAAUGCUAGCUGAGUUUUAUAAUAUCUAGUUUCUUUAAAACGAAUUUAAUUUGAUUUUUAUUAAUAAAAUUAAUAAAACUUAAUGAUAGGAGGGAUUAGCUUCUUAUGUAACUGAAGGUAAAACAGUUGAAUAAAAAUAAAAUUAUAAAUUAGGCUUAGAAGUAGCUAUAUUAAAAAAGUGUUUUAACUAAAUUAUAAUUGUUAAAAUAUUUUUAAUAACUUUUUAUUAAUAUAAAGAAAUUAAUUAAAAUUAAAAAGUUAAGAUAUAAUGAUUUUAUUAGUAAAAUUUAUUUAGAAAAUAAAAUAAUAGUAUGUUGAAAAUUGUUCAAAGCAAUAAUUAUUAAUAUAAAGGAAUUCGGCAAAAUAUUUCUUUGCCUGUUUAUCAAAAACAUGUCUUUUUGAAGAUAAAAAAAGUCAAGCCUGCCCCCUGAAUUAAUUUUUAAGGGCCGCGGUAUUUUGACCGUGCGAAGGUAGCGUAAUCAUUAGUUUUUUAAUUGAAAUCUUGUAUGAAUGGUUAGACAAAAGAAAAUCUGUCUCUUUAUUAAACAUUGAAUUUAACUUUUAAGUGAAAAGGCUCAAAUAAAUUAAAGGGACGAUAAGACCCUAUAAAGCUUAAUAUAAAAUACUAUUUAACUAAAUUUAUUUUAAUAAAAGUUUUAUAGUAUAGUUUAUUUUAUUGGGGUGAUAAGAGUAAAAUUUUUAUUAACUGCUUAAAAUAAUAAAGAUUUAUGGUUGAAAUAAAGAAAUAAAGAUCCUAAUUAAAGAUUAAAAGUUUAAGUUACUUUAGGGAUAACAGCGUUAUUUUUUUUGAGAGCACAUAUCGAAAAAAGAGUUUGCGACCUCGAUGUUG